AUGAGUGAAUUGACACAUAUACCCUUUUAAAUGAUGAAACCUAUCCACAAUAUCACGACCCUUUCUCCCCGUUAAAAAAUCCAGAUUCCACAUAAAACUAAAGCUAGAAGAAGCCAAUUUAUCAGCACCAACGAAUUCAACCAUCUUCAUUCACCGGUGAAUCUAACCAUCUUCGUUCACCGGUGAAUCUAACCAUCAUUCACCAGCGAUUCAUACUAUCUUCGUUGACUGGCGAUUACGCCAACUUCGUUCAUCAAUUUCAGUCAGUUCAAUAUUCGGAGCUCCCGACAACACUUUACAUUUUCGUCACCACCGUUUGCUGGAAAAGAGAUCUUGACAUCUUGUACAAGCUAUGUUCAGUUCUCCUCUCAAACCGGUCUCAAUUGCUCAAUGAAACCUGAAAGUUUCUCUGACGAAGCCAGCGAUCUAGAAGAGGAUUGAAGACUAUCUGAUGAAUAUGUUAGGAUUUAUGUGCAGUAGUUUUGGUUUGGUACGGGUAGAUUAUGUUAGGAUUUAUGUGCAGUGGUUUUGGUUUGGUAGAUGUUUGAAUGUUGGAUAUAUCUAGUUUGGUAUGAUUUUUGUGCAGGUAUUUGAUUUCAAAAGAAAAUAUGAAACAUUAAUCUGUUGUUAAUGUAAAGUAAUU
rnacentral:lncRNA from 1 species